AGUUAGGAAGGCAGGCCCCAAUCCAUUCUGGCCCUGACACUAUCAUGGCCAACAGAUUCUUAUGCUGUGUCUCCAUUUUUCUGCUUGGAGCAGCCCCCACUGAAGCUCAAGUCACUCAAUCACCCAGAUACCUGGUCACAAGGGUGAAGCAGAAUGUGACACUAAGAUGUCAACAAAAUUUGGGCCAUGAUUACAUGUAUUGGUACCAACAGGAGCCACAGAAAGGACCCAAGCUACUAUUUUAUUUUAGUUUCCAAAACCAACAGUUAAAUGAGAGUGUUCCUCAACGCUUCAAACCUGAUCCAUCAGAGAAAUAUCACUUGAACCUCCAUGUCUACACUGUGGAGGCCGAGGACUCAGCCACCUACUUCUGCAGCAGCAGUGAUUACACAGCCUUGUAG